CUUUAACUGAAUGGCUGAAGGCCUAUAAAAAACACUUACCGCCAACAUUUUUCAUUAUUUUGUUUGUGGGUUCUGUAUGGAGGUUUGGAACAAUAAGCAGUCAGUGUUUGGAUUUGUUGUUUGAUUUUAUAAGGCCAUGGAUCAAGGGUGGAUAAGGUGAGUUUUACUAGUCACGCUGUUAGUAUUUUGUUUUGCAAAUGUUGUUCAAUUUUUUUUUAUGUAAUGUGUCUUUCAACUUGUAGGUUCCCCUUGUUGGUAGUCGUCCUGCUUUUUUGGAUGAAUGCUGAUGGAUAUUCAUAUUCAACUUCUCCAAAUGCUGACCAAUGGUUGGGUCAGCCAUCUGAGAAAACUUUCUUGCCUCUGGUCGUCCAGUCUUCUGUGGCAGAAGCCCCUGUUACUGGGGUUUUGCUCGAAGAAGUGGUCUCUAGUUUGCCAAAAAACAGACCCAAGUUUAAUCUACUUCAGGUUGUUAAAGGUGGUGUUUCCAGCAGUUCUGACUCUACACCCCAAACUCUAUCUCUAAAUACCCCCUCCUCAGCUUCUCUGCCUGUGGAUCAAUCUGGUAAAAGUGGUUCAGUGUCAUUUAAGGGCUCAUCUGGAUCCACCACUGCAUAUGCUACAAGUGGUUCUGGACAAAUUGUUUUUGCGCAAAGGGAAAGUGGCAGCUUUUCUUCCAACGCUGGAGUUUCUGGCCAGUCCACUAAUGACCAGAGCUCCCCUAGUCUGUCUAGUUCAGCUUCUCAAGGUACCACAUAUGGAUUAACUUCCCUGGUUCAAGGUACAAAUCAGUUUGCUCCAGGAUCUUCAUCCUCUUAUGCAACCAUAUCAUUGCCCAAAUAUGUUAGCCAGUUGAAAACUGGACCAAGUUCAAAGCCAUUUAUGACUGUCUAUGGCACCCAGACUUUGCAAGGAAGUACCACAUAUGGUGGAAAAAUUCAGACUACAGAUACCGCAAGUCAGUUCGUUAAAGGAUCUACAUCUCCAGAUGUAGUAAUAUCCUUGUCCCAAGAUGUUUCUAGUCAGUCAGCUGUGCCCAGUUCAAAGCAGAUUACCUCGGUCUAUAGCACUCAGACUGGAUCCUCUGCUCCUUUUACUCUGCAAGAACUAUUCCAGGGUCAAGAUUCAACAAGCAAGUUUGUUUCAGGAUCUUUAACCCCAUCUGUAGCUGUAUCAUUGGCCCAAGGUGUUUCUAGCCAGUCAGCUUUACCAAGUUCAAAGCGUAUAACCUCUGUCUAUAGCACCCAGACAGGAUCCUCUGCCCCUUUCACUUUGCAGAGAUUAGUCCAAGCUCCAGAUAUGAGCACUGUGAUUUCAGGAUCUUUAACCCCAUCCGAAGCUAUAUUAUCGGCCCAAGGUGUUCCUAGCUAUUCAACUGUGCCAAGUUCAAAGAAGACCAUUACAUCCGACUUCAGCACUCAAACCGGAUCCUCUGCUCCUUUCACUUUCCAAGAAAGCACCACUUAUGGUGGACUCAUCCAGGCUCAAGAUACAAGUCAGUCUGUUUUGGGAUCAUCAACCCCUUAUGUUGCUGUGUCCAUACCCCAAGUCGUUACUAGUCAAUCAGCUAUGCCAAGUUCAAAGCAGACAACCUCUGUCUAUAGCACUCAGACAGGAUCUUCUGCUCCUUUCACUCUGCAAGAACUACUCCAGGGUCAAGAUUCAACAAGCAAGGUUGAUUCCGUAUCUUCAACCCCUUUUGUCUCUGUAUCAUUGCCCCAAGUUUUUACAAGUCAGUCAGCUACUGUGCCAAGUCCCAAGAAGCCAAUUACCUCUGUCUAUAGCACCCACAGACUAGUCCAGGCUCCAGGUGUACCCCACAAGGUUGUUUCAGGAUCCUUAACCCCAUCUGUAGCUGUAUCGUUGACACAAGGUGUUCCUAGCCAGUCCACUGUACCAAGUUCAAAGAAAACCAUUACCUCAGUCUAUAGCUCUCAAAAAGGAUCCUCUGCCCCUUUUACUUUGCAGAGACUAGUCCAAGCUCCAGAUACAACAAGCACCGUGAUUUCAGAAUCUUUAACCCCAUCUAAAGCCAUAUUAUUGACCCAAGGUGUUCCUAGCCAGUCAGCUGUUCCAAGUUCAAAGACUAUUACCUCAGUCUAUAGCACUCAAACAGGAUCCUCUGCCCCUUUCACUUUGCAGAGGUUAGUCCAAGCUCCAGAUACAAGCACUGUGAUUUCAGGAUCCCUAACCCCAUCUGAAACCAUAUUAUUGGCCCAAGGUGUUCCUAGGCAGUCGGCUGUGCCAAGUUCAAAGAAGACCAUUACCUCAGUCCACAGCACUCAAACAGGAUCCUCUGCUCCUUUCACUUUCCAAGAAAUCACUGCUAAUGGUGGACUGAUCCAGGCUCAAGAUACAAGUCAGUCUGUUUUGGGAAUAUCAACCCCUUAUGUAGCUGUGUCCAUACCCCAAGUCAUUACUAGUCAAUCAGCUGUUCCAAGUUCAAAGCAGACAACCUCUGUCUAUAGCACUCAGACAGGAUCUUCUGCUCCUUUCACUCUGCAAGAACUACUCCAGGGUCAAGAUUCAACAAGCAAGGUUGAUUCAGUAUCUUCAACCCCUUUUGUCUCUGUAUCAUUGCCCCAAGUUUUUACAAGUCAGUCAGCUACUGUGCCAAAUUCCAAGAAGCCAAUUACCUCUGUCUUGGGCACCCACAGAUUAGUCCAGGCUCCAGAUGUACUUCACAAGGUUGUUUCGGGAUCCUUAACCCCAUCUGUAGCAGUAUCAUUGGCCCAAGUUGUUCCUAGCCAGUCAGCUGUGCCAAGUUCAAAGAAGACCAUUACCUCAGUCUACAGCACUCAAACAGGAUCCUCUGCCCCUUUCACUUUGCAGAGGUUAGUCCAAGCUCCAGAUACAACAAGCACUGUGAUUUCAGGAUCUUUAACCCCAUCUGAAACCAUAUUAUUGGCCCAAGGUGUUCCUAGCCAGUCAGCUGUUCCAAGUUCAAAGAAGACUAUUACCUCAGUCUACAGCACUCAAACAGGAUCCUCUGCUCCUUUCACUCUGCAAGAACUUUUCCAGGGUCAAGAUUCAACAAGCAAGGUUGUUUCAGGAUCCUUAACCCCCUCUGUAGACGUAUCAUUGGCCCAAGUUGUUCCUAGCCAGUCAGCUGUGCCAAGUUCAAAGAAGACCAUUACCUCAGUCUAUAGCACUCAAACAGGAUCCUCUGCCCCUUUCACUUUGCAGAGGUUAGUCCAAGCUCCAGAUACAACAAGCACUGUGAUUUCAGGAUCUUUAACCCCAUCUGAAACCAUAUUAUUGGCCCAAGGUGUUCCUAGCCAGUCAGCUGUUCCAAGUUCAAAGAAGACUAUUACCUCAGUCUACAGCACUCAAACAGGAUCCUCUGCUCCUUUCACUCUGCAAGAACUUUUCCAGGGUCAAGAUUCAACAAGCAAGGUUGUUUCAGGAUCCUUAACCCCCUCUGUAGACGUAUCAUUGGCCCAAGUUGUUCCUAGCCAGUCAGCUGUGCCAAGUUCAAAGAAGACCAUUACCUCAGUCUAUAGCACUCAAACAGGAUCCUCUGCCCCUUUCACUUUGCAGAGGUUUGUCCAAGCUCCAGAUACAACAAGCACUGUGAUUUCAGGAUCCUUAACCCCAUCUGAAACCAUAUUAUUGGCCCAAGGUGUUCCUAGCCAGUCAACUGUUCCAAGUUCAAAGAAGACUAUUACCUCAGUCCAUAGCACCCAAACAGGAUCCUCUGCUCCUAUCACUUUCCAAGAAAGCACCACUUAUGGUGGAACGAUCCAGGCUCAAGGUACAAGCCAGUCUGUUUCGGGAUCAUCAACCCCCUUUGUAGCUGUGUCCAUGCCCCAAGGUGUUACUAGUCAAUCAGCUGUGCCAAGUUCAAAGCAAAUUACCUCUGUCUAUAGCACCCAGAUAGGAUCGUCUGCCCCUUUCACUUUGCAGAGUAUAGUCAAGGCUCAAGAUACAAGCAAGGUUAUUUCAGAAUUUUCAGCCCCAUCUGUUGCUGUAGCACUAGCCCAAGCUGUUCCUAGCCAGUCAGCUGUACCAAGUUCAAAGCAGAUUACCUCUGUCUUUAAGACUCAACAAGGAUCCUCUGCUCCGUUCACUUUCCAAGGAGGCACCACAUAUGGCGUACCGAUUCAGGCUCAAGAUACAACAAGCCAGUUUGUUUCACGAUCUUCAACCCCUGUUGUAGCUGUGUCAUUGCCCCAAGAUGUUGUUAGUCCAUCAAUAACUGUGCCAAGUUCAAAGAAGCCCAUUACCUCCGUUUAUGGCACUCUGACUGGGUCUUCUGCUCUCUUCACUUUGCAAGGUCUACUCCAGGGUAAGGAAUCAACAAGCCAGGUUGUUUCAGUAUCUUCCCCCUAUGUGGCUGUAUCACUGCCCCAAGGUAUUACUAGUCAGUCAACAAUUGUGCCAAGUUCAAAAAAGACCUUUACCUCCGUCUAUGGCACUCAGACAGAGUCCUCUACUCCUUUUGUACUACAAGGAACACUCGAGAGUCAAGAUUCAACAAGCCAGGUUGUUUCUGUAUCGUCAACCCCAUAUGUAUCUGUGUCCUUGCCCCAAGAUGUUACUAGUCAGUCAGCUGUGCCAAGUUCAAAGCGGAUAACCUCGGUCUAUAGCACCCAGACGGGAUCCUCUGCCCCUUUCACUUUGCAGAGACUAGUCCAGGCUCAAGAUGCAACAAGCGAGAUUGGUUCAGGAUCUUCAACUCCAUCUGUAGUUGUCACUGGACCAAGGUGUACCAAGUUCAAAGCAGAUUACCUCUGUCUAUGACACUCAGACAGGAUCAUCGGCUCCUUUCACCUUGCAAGGAGGCACCGCAUAUAGUGGACUAACUCAGGCUCUAGAUUCAGCAAGCCAGGUUGUUUUAGGAUCUUCAUCCCCAUAUGUAGCUGUAGCAUUGCCCCAAGUUGUUACUAUUCAGUCGACUACUGUGCCAAGUUCAAAGAAGCCAUUUGCCUCUGUCUAUGGCACUCAGACUGGGUCUUCUGCUCCCCUCGCUUUACAAGGACUACUCCAGGGUCAAGAAUCAAGCCAGGUAUUUUCAGUAUCUUCCCCUUAUGUGGCUGUUUCACUGCCUCAAGGUAUUACUAGUCAGUCAACAACUGUGCCAAGUUCAAAGCAGAUCACCACUGUCUAUGGAACUCAGACCAGUUCUUCUGCUCCCCUCACUUUGCAAAGACUAUUCCAGGGUCGAGGUUCAACAAGAGUUUCAGGAUCUUCUUCCCCAUAUGUAGCUGUAUCAUUGCCCCAAGGUGUUAAUAGUCAGUCAAUGACUGUGCCAAUUUCAAAGCAGAUCACUUCUUCUGUCUAUAGCACCCAAACUGGAUCCUCUCCCACUCUGAAUGUGCAAGGACUACUCCAUCCUCAGGAUUCUACUGAUCAGUUUACUUUAAGACGUGACUCUGUCAAGGGCUAGGAGACUGUUAAACUGUCAUGUUUCAAUUUUUGUUUGCAACUGGUUUUUAAAUAAAAAUUUGAAGUCUGGGAUGUUUAAGUUGUCUAUGGUGCAUUGUAUUUUAAUUAUUGGACAAACCUAAAGGUUUAAUAGUAAACUGAAGUGUGGUUGAGUAGAAGACGUUUGGCCUGUUUCAGCAAGGAGGUUUGACUAACUCGGAGUUUAAAACUUGAACUCUGAGUUGAUUUGCAGAGAGGUUUAGGAACCAGGUUUUCGGUUUCAGAACAGCUCAUCUGAGUUUGGUCAAUCAACUUUGAGUAAACCAACUCCAAGGUAAACGCACACACUGACUAUAAAAAGUCAUUAUCAAUUGAGUAAAAAUAUUAUUAGUUACCAUUUCUUUCUCCAGCUGAGCUUGAUGUGCUCAUGCGACGGUAUAGUAAAUUUGACAAUAUAUUUUUAAAAAAAGCAACACCACUGCAUCAUUGAAACAGACUUUUAGCGUG
ensembl:lincRNA